GCGGUAGUCGUCCAACAGGUAGGACACCUGCCUUCCAAGCAGACCGUUGACGGGGUUCGAGUCCCCGCUACCGCU
rnacentral:tRNA from 1 species